GCAGGGAAUCUUCCACAAUGGGCGAAAGCCUGAUGGAGCAACGCCGCGUGUGUGAUGAAGGGUUUCGGCUCGUAAAACACUGUUGUAAGAGAAGAAUGACAUUGAGAGUAACUGUUCAAUGUGUGACGGUAUCUUACCAGAAAGGAACGGCUAAAUACGUGCCAG
rnacentral:rRNA from 1 species